CUGAGCUUCAACAAGGCCUGGAUGGA
rnacentral:piRNA from 1 species